rnacentral:rRNA from 1 species
GUGGGGAAUUUUGGACAAUGGGGGCAACCCUGAUCCAGCCAUUCCGCGUGAGUGAAGAAGGCCUUCGGGUUGUAAAGCUCUUUCGUCAGGAACGAAACGGCGGGCUCUAACAUAGCCUGUUAAUGACGGUACCUAAAGAAGAAGCACCGGCUAACUACGUGCCAGCAGCCGCGGUAAUACGUAGGGUGCGAGCGUUAAUCGGAAUUACUGGGCGUAAAGCGUGCGCAGGCGGAUUGUUAAGCAAGACGUGAAAUCCCCGGGCUUAUCCUGGGAAUGGCGUUUUGAACUGGCAGUCUAGAGUGCGUCGGAGGGGGGUGGAAUUCCACGUGUAGCAGUGAAAUGCGUAGAGAUGUGGAGGAACACCGAUGGCGAAGGCAGCCCCCUGGGAUGACACUGACGCUCAUGUACGAAAGCGUGGGUAGCAAACAGGAUUAGAUACCCCGGUAGUCC